GGGUUGUGAGGUUAAGCGACUAAGCGUACACGGUGGAUGCCCUGGCAGUCAGAGGCGAUGAAGGGCGUGCUAAUCUGCGAUAAGCGCCGGUAAGGUGAUAUGAACCGUUAUAACCGGCGAUACCCGAAUGGGGAAACCCAGUGUGACUCGUCACACUAUCAUUAACUGAAUCCAUAGGUUAAUGAGGCGAACCGGGGGAACUGAAACAUCUAAGUACCCCGAGGAAAAGAAAUCAACCGAGAUUCCCCCAGUAGCGGCGAGCGAACGGGGAGGAGCCCAGAGCCUGAAUCAGCAUGUGUGUUAGUGGAAGCGUCUGGAAAGACGCGCGAUACAGGGUGACAGCCCCGUACACAAAAGCGCAUGUGUUGUGAGCUCGAUGAGUAGGGCGGGACACGUGGUAUCCUGUCUGAAUAUGGGGGGACCAUCCUCCAAGGCUAAAUACUCCUGACUGACCGAUAGUGAACCAGUACCGUGAGGGAAAGGCGAAAAGAACCCCGGCGAGGGGAGUGAAAAAGAACCUGAAACCGUGUACGUACAAGCAGUGGGAGCACAGGUUUACCUGUGUGACUGCGUACCUUUUGUAUAAUGGGUCAGCGACUUAUAUUCUGUAGCAAGGUUAACCGAAUAGGGGAGCCGGAGGGAAACCGAGUCUUAAUUGGGCGUUAAGUUGCAGGGUAUAGACCCGAAACCCGGUGAUCUAGCCAUGGGCAGGUUGAAGGUUGGGUAACACUAACUGGAGGACCGAACCGACUAAUGUUGAAAAAUUAGCGGAUGACCUGUGGCUGGGGGUGAAAGGCCAAUCAAACCGGGAGAUAGCUGGUUCUCCCCGAAAGCUAUUUAGGUAGCGCCUCGUGAACUCAUCUCCGGGGGUAGAGCACUGUUUCGGCUAGGGGGCCAUCCCGGCUUACCAACCCGAUGCAAACUGCGAAUACCGGAGAAUGUUAUCACGGGAGACACACGGCGGGUGCUAACGUCCGUCGUGAAGAGGGAAACAACCCAGACCGCCAGCUAAGGUCCCAAAGUCAUGGUUAAGUGGGAAACGAUGUGGGAAGGCCCAGACAGCCAGGAUGUUGGCUUAGAAGCAGCCAUCAUUUAAAGAAAGCGUAAUAGCUCACUGGUCGAGUCGGCCUGCGCGGAAGAUGUAACG
rnacentral:rRNA from 1 species